ACAGGUAGAAAAUCAGAAAAAGGGCUCCUUGAGAUACAGGAUUUACACCCUUUGUAUGGGCUGAAGAAGUGAAUGAGCUGUCCCUGCAGCCAGCCCUGGCAGCAUGUGUGUGGUGUGAGGGGCUGGUUGCCCCACAGCAGUUGCAACCAGAGUAGAGAGGCUUUGGACCAGCUGCAAUAUGAGGAUCCUCUUGGAGCUGGCCAGGCCUAAAAAAUAGAACGCUGGCUUUUGCUUGCUCCUUCUCUUCCCAGGCCCAUGCCUAGAAGAAAUCACAAUGACAGCGCUCUGGUCCCAGCUCACCAGAGGUGAAACCUGGGAAAGGGUUCAGACAGAAGCCUGUUCCUGCUGUUAGAGAGUUUCAGUGACAAUGGGAGUGGGAGGGAGGCUAAGAGCCUGAGGGCUGAAGCCUGGGGUGGGGGAAUAAUGGGCAGGGCAGAGUUGAAUUUUGUUUAGAGCUUUCCUUGUGCACCCUGCUGCCCACUGCUCUUUGCUGCCUGCUCACAAGCUGAUAGGGAUCUCCUGACUUUCGAGGUGCCUGUGUGAGAGAGACCUGAAGACACCUCAGUUGCUCAGCACAGUGAGGCCGAGCAAGCCACGCCGGAGUGGCGGCAGUGCCGGAGGCAGCGAGCCAUAAGGUGGUGACUCGGGCAGGUGGCCGGCACCACAGGUGUCAGGACGGGCAGAGCUGGGUACCAAGCUGGCAAUCAAUAAUGCAAAGAGCCGGUCACAUGUCCUUGCUGGCUGUUGCAGGAUUCCUCUCUCCCCCCAGAGUCUGGUUACUUCAGAGAUCAAGUUCCAGCCUCUCGGUUGGUGAAUUAUUAAACUCCAUCAGUGCUCCCUUUGUACCACGUCUGUGUCUUCCUGCUGUCCUUCCUUGCUGGUGACAGGCUCUUUCCAUCCAGCUGCCUGUGCAGAAGCAGAGUCCUCUAGUCCUAUAGCACCUUGUACUCUACUUUGCUCCUUGCUUCUCUGAGGGAGAGUGAAUAGGCUCCAGAAAUGGAUCUGUCCUACAGAUCCACCAUCUCCAUCUAUAAGAGUAUCCUGGAGCAGUUCAACCCUGCGCUGGAGAACCUGGUGUACCUGGGGAACAACUACCUGCGUGCCUUCCACGCAUUAUCAAAAGCUGCUGAAGUGUAUUUUAAGGCAAUUGAGAAGAUUGGGGAGCAAGCACUGCAGAGUUCCACCUCACACAUGCUGGGUGAAAUUCUGAUGCAGAUGUCUGACACGCAGAGACUACUGAGCUCUGAUUUGGAAGUUGUGGCUCAGACCUUCCACGUAGACCUGCUGCAGCACAUGGAGAAGAACAGCAAAAUGGAUGUGCAGUUCAUCAGUGAGAGCCAGAAGCAGUAUGAGCUGGAGUAUCAGCGAAGAGCCACCAACCUGGAUAAGUGCAUGGCAGAGCUGUGGAGAAUGGAGAGGGCUCGUGACAAAAAUGCCCGGGAGAUGAAGGAGAAUGUGAUCCGACUGCGCUCAGAGAUGCAGGCGUUCGUCUCUGAGAGCCAGAGGGAGGCUGAGCUGGAGGAGAAACGCCGCUACCGCUUCCUGGCUGAAAAGCACCAGACGCUCUACAACACUCUCCUCCAGUUUUACAGCAGGGCUCGCAGCAUGAUCCAGACCAAGGCACCACGAUGGAAGGAGCAGCUGGAAGCCAGCCGCAACCCCUCAAACAGCCACUCACCCAGUCUGCUCUCAGCCUCCCAUAGCCAGGGGUAUCCAUCUGGACGGCUCACACCCACCCACCUCGAGAUGCCCCAGAGACCCCUUGGGGACUUUGCUUCUUCUAUGACUGGGAGUAGAUCCAGCAUCUUCUCUCCGGACCCUCCAGAAAUGAGAAUGUCUCCUCAGCCAGAGUCUCCCAGGCGGCCACUGCGGAGGACACCAUCAGCAGCAAGUUUGCUCCCUACGGGCCGUACGUCCCGUUCGGGUUCCUUUGGCGAGGCCAGCAGCGCCAGCGAGGGCAGGAAGAGGAGUGGCACAACGAGAGUUCAAGCCAUCGUGCCCCACACGACGGGUGCCAACCGGACCCUGCUGCGGUUUGAGCCCGGGGAUGUCAUCGCGGUGCUGAUGCCAGAGGCGCAGAAUGGCUGGCUCUAUGGCAAACUGGAGGGCUCGUCCAUGUGUGGCUGGUUCCCUGAAGCUUAUGUCAAGCCUUUGGAGAAUGCGAGGGAGAUGGAGGAGCCAGACACCAGGUCCUUCCCACUGCGAAGCAGCCACAGUAUGGAUGACAUCCUGGACCGUCCCAGCACUCAGUCCUCUAGCAAUUACUGGCCUGCUGCUGCCCAGCCCAGCGUGCCGAACCCACCUCCCCUCUCAGUGGGUGCCAGCAGUCACCAGAGUGGGAUGGUUGCCCCACUCAAUUCUGGCUCCAAGCCAGUAGAGACAAUCACGUUUCUGGUGUUGGUGAAGGGACCUGCUGCCUUCCUGAGUUAAGAGGUCUUGUUAGCACCAGUCUUUCUCACCCAGUCUGUUCACAUGCCACCUUGUUCUGUUGACCCCUGCCAGUCUGCUUGUUGUGUGCAGAUCCUCAGUGCCUGGCUUUGCUCCCCCAAGGGAAUGCUUUUCUGCCCCUGCCCUUCUCACCUCUCUCUCUUUUUGCUCACCAGGGACCCUUCAGUUCAGUCCUUUCCUCCAUGACCUCCCAGCCUGAUUUCUGGUGGCUCCAGGGCAGCACCUCUUUCUGCUAAUAGUAGGACUGUGGAGUGACCAGGCUGGUCUGGGAGUGGGUGACCAGCUAACAGAGAUGCCAUCCUUCUUCUCCCUUCAGAGAAUGGAGAGGAGUUUCAUAGGGUUCCUCUUUGAAAUUCAGAUGAGGGUUGGCUUAAAGUCACAGCUGGGGUAGGGAAAAACUGAGAGCAAAGGCCGAGCUAUUUUUGAGAGCUUUAGAACAAGUUGUGUCCAACCCAUGGGUUAUGGAUGGGAGAAGGAAGUCCUCCACUUAUCAUUGCUUCCAGCAGUGGGGAAUUGACUGGGGAGAACAAAGUUAAAGGUGAGGACCUGGGAGAAAGAAGAACAGUGCUGCCUGUGGGGCAUUACUUGCUCAGUCUCACAGAGGGCUGGAAAACCUUGUCCGUGGUUACUGGUUCCAGGCCAGUGCAAGGCUGCAAGCAAUUGGAUGGCUCAAAGAACUGGAAACUGCAAUGUUUAAUUACUCUUUUUUUCCUUUUAUGUCCUGCUCUGUGGUUUCAGGUAGCCUCAGGCUGCACAAUUCCGGGGAACAGCCUCUGCAGCCUCUCUGUCCCUCUGGGUCACUGGUUUUCAUCUGGUCCCAGGGCUAGGGUGUAGGGAUAGACCUGGGAUUGAGUCAUGAGUUGUGUGCAGCAUUUGGAAUAGCAUGACAAAGUGUGGAACCUCAUUAGAAAGGAGGGAAAGACUGAUUUGGAAAGACUCAGCCUUGCUUUAAAUGUAUGCCCAGGACAUCCCCCAGUUGAGCCACAAGAAAAUGGGUGUGACUUCCCAACUGGAUCACAAAUAGCCACGUGUGGCUGUCUUGUCUGUCACCAGAGUACUUUAGCAGGUCAGUUGUCACUGAUCCUUCACUAUCUACUGGCCAAGAAUAAGGGCCACAGGACCUAGGUCUAACUUUGUCCGUCAGGUUUGUCCACUUUUAAGUAAUAUGUGGUGUAGGGUAGGUAGGUACACCUCUGGAAUUCCCCAUGGAUGCAGGAAGCAUGUGAGGGCACGGAUGACAGACUUUUUGCCAGGGUGUGUGGGCAACAUGAGGGGGCAUCUCUGGCUGCGCUGGAGGGUGAAAUGUAGCUCAGACUCUCACUGUUUGCUGUGCUCUUCAGAUAUGACACUUUGGGGAUCUGAGUCAUCUCCUUUCUUCCCCAAAACAAAGGAAGAUGUCCUAGGGGAGUAAGGAACCCCUAGUUUAGGGACAACCCCCCACAACAAAAUUCAGGGUAUUAUCUAUAGUGGGGAAUUUGUGGACUUUUGCAAAGCUUGAAUAAGGAGUCAGAGCCCUGUUAAGAGGACUUGGGCUCCUAACUCUCCUAAGCGUUUUGUGAAAUCUUCCUCCGUGUGUGCAGUGUCUCCUGCCCGACUUUUCUCUCUCCAUUCCCCACUCCAAAUUUCCCACUGCUGCUUUUCUUUUCACUGCAGAAAUCAGGAGUAUUUGACCAGCCCCCUGAGCUCUUCCCACGAGGUACCAACCCCUUUGCCACAGUCAAGCUGCGCCCCACAGUCACCAAUGACCGCUCGGCGCCCAUCAUCCGAUGAAGCAGGG